UCAAACUUGGUCAUUUAGAGGAAGUAAAAGUCGUAACAAGGUUUCCGUAGGUGAACCUGCGGAAGGAUCAUUAUUGAAUAAACUUGGUUUAGGCUGUUGCUGACCCUUGUCGGUAUGUGCACGCCUACUCCGACUUUAUAACCACCUGUGCACCAUGUGUAGAUCUGAAAAACUCCUCGAGUAAAACUCGGUUUAAAGGAUUGCUGUGCGCAUUGCAGGCUCUUCUUUAUAUUUCAGUUCUAUUUUUUUGUUACUAUACUCCAUUUUAAGUAUUUGGAUGAGAUAGAUAGGCAUUUCGCAUGCCUGUAAACCUAUAUAUAACUUUCAACAACGGAUCUCUUGGCUCUCGCAUCGAUGAAGAACGCAGC
rnacentral:misc_RNA from 1 species